CCUUCUGAUUUCAUUCUCCUUAUUUUUCCCAGGAACUUCUGGAAAUUCACUCAGAGGCGCAUUGGAUUAAUGACAGGUGCUGCAUUCCCUGGUAUUGUGGGCAUAGAAGAUGAGGAUCAGCACCUGUUUUUUUGACGUUUCUGGCCAGGCAUCAAGGCAGAUAUUCAGUGGUGGUGCAAUGUUCCUUGGUGCUGGAUGCUCAUGCCCAUCUGUGAGGAUGGCAUUGUUCCCAUCUAUGAGUUCAGAGUGCCUUUGUCUACAAUCAGCGAUUGGUUUAAUUGAGCAGCCAGUAUUGGAACGAAAAUGCUGUUACUUCCCCACCACCCUCUCAUGUGCCAGAAUGAAGCUGUGGCGACACCUUCCUCAUCCCUGCUGUCACAUAUAUCUGUGUAAGCCUGAACAGCAGAAUGGAAGAAAUCAGUCACCAUUCACAAUGUCUGCUGGCUGCCAAAGAGACGCAUUUCUACUGCAGCCGAAGAUUAUACUGAAAAUCAUUGACAGAACUGGCAUUGACAUAAGUGGGAGAGCUCUCCUGGCAAUCAUCUGUAAGUUCCUACAUGCUGAAAUUCCAUUUUUCCACAAUACAUUUAUUUUCAUUUUCAGCUGUAAUUCACAGGUUUCUUACCCCAAAAAGCCCUGUUAGAGUCUCCAUACAAAACAGUGUCAUCUCCCUUGAAACUUUUCAGUUGGCCUUUGUUCUGCUUAAAAUAGAGGAAGCCAGUUUAAACAUAUGUUCCUAGAUGUACGAUUAUAGUGCUUUUUUAUAAUUGGAGGGUUUUGCUUGAAGUAGUGUUUGACAUACUUCAGUGACCAGCAUGCAUUAUGAGGCAUGUGGAACUUUGCUAGCCAGAAAACAGCACUCUUGUGGGUUUUUAACUCCUUUGAAUGAAGAAAUAAAAUCCAUAAAAUAUCAAUAAAGCUAUCCACUUCAGGCAAAGGAUGACCAGACAUAAAGAAAAUCUCCCAUCAAGAAUGCUAUGGCCACAUUACUGUAGGCCAUAGCAAGUCUUAUAAAAGUACUGCUGUUCUUCCCUUUCUUUAGUACUGGAAACAGCUUGUCUUCUCAAAUACUUACAAGUUUCUAAUAUUUAUUUUCUUUUCCUUUUUUUUUUUUCUCUAUAACAAAGAAAUCAAAGACAAAUGUGAAGAAGAGACUUUUGAAACAGAAUCCUUGUAUCUACAGUAGUUGUACAAGAGUUGAUAGAAAAAGAAAAUCACAAGUUAGAAAUUCAGACUUACAAUUUUGAUUCUGUAGAUUGGCUUUUACUACUAUGUCUAUCAGUUAGCAAUGAAAAACAUGAAAAUACUAUGAUCUGUACACAAUUCAUGAAAGGGGUUUCAAGAAUUAUAGGUAUAUUUUACAUUAGAAACUCAGGCCAGUUCAUAUGAAUGUUUUCCUUGUUUAGCCUUUCUAUUUUACAAUUACAGGAUACUAUAAAACUUGAGUACUAAAGCAUUUUGAAGGCAGUGGAGAAAGUCUACACACCUAGUCACAAAAUCUUUCCUGUAUAAAUUUCUUGUAAACAUAUGGUUCCUGGUAAUCUUUUGUUCUUACUAACCUAAGGGGAGGGAAGGGGGGUGGGGGGGACGGUAG
ensembl:lncRNA